GUAUUUUUUUGGGGUAAGCCAACGCGGCGAUGAGCGGACAUUGUGAGAGAGGGAAGGGACUUCAACGCGAUUUCUGCGAAAGUGACUGUAGUAGUAUAUUUUUGGGGUAAGCCAACGCGGCGAUGAGCGGACAUUGUGGGCCGCACUUCGUUCCGCUUUGCAGCUUCAGAAUUCAGAUGCUCCCCAUCUUCCUCCUCCGUUUCCGCCUUCCUCUUCCAUUUUUCAUUUCUUCUUCCUCUGCUGCUGCUGCUGCAUCUUGAAGCUCGAGCUUGCGCGGCCGAGGAUGGGAAACUGCUGCUCCGACGGCGGCGGAGGCCGCUCGGCCGUUGGCGGCACCGCGGCUUCCCACGCUAACCCGGUAGUCGGCCCUAAUGACGCCGUCGACCUCUUCUUCAGGUCUCGAGGCCACAACGGACUAUUUUCUCAGAUCGAGCUGUCAUAUUCUGCUUCAAAAUUGCGUGAUCGGGAUGUGCUCUCCAAGAGUGAUCCCAUGGCAGUUAUUUAUAUAAAAAGAAGAGAUGGAACACUUGAAGAGCUUGGACGUACUGAAGUGCUGUUGAAUUCGUUGAAUCCAGUGUGGAUCACAAAACACACUAUUACUUAUCAUUUUGAGGUUGUGCAGACUUUGGUGUUUCAUGUGUAUGAUGUUGACACUCAAUUUCACAAUGUAGAUGUAAAGAUGCUUAAGCUGGAUGAACAGCAAUUUCUUGGCGAGGCUACUUGUGCACUUUCUGAGAUAGUCACCAAAUCAAACUGGUCGUUGACCUUAAAUCUUGUUCGCAAAGAAGAAUCCACUAGAACAUCCAGUUCUCCAAGUUUUGGAGAGCUUACUGUUCAUGCUGAAGAAUGGGUUAGCUCGAAGACUACAACAGAGCUGAUAUUAAGGUGUACCGAUCUGGAAAAUAAGGAUCUAUUCUCAAAAAGUGACCCCUUCUUGGUGAUAUCGAAAACUUUGGAGAGUGGGGAUUCUGUUCCUAUUUGCAAGACCGAAGUCAUAAAGAAUGAUCUUGAACCAUUAUGGAAACCCUUAUAUUUGAAUAUUCAGCAAGUUGGAAGUAAGGACAAUCCAUUAGAUAUAGAGUGCUAUAACUUCAAUAGCAGUGGAAAACACGAUUUGAUUGGAAAAACUCGUAAAUCACUAGCAGAAUUGGAGAAGCUUUAUUCCAGUAAGCAGGGAGAACAUUUAUUUUUGCUCACAGCUGCUGGACAUGGCUACCACAACAAGGUAUUAAAAAGUCAACUAUUUGUGGAGAAGUUCUCUGAGAGUGUUCGACAUACCUUCCUGGAUUAUUUGGCUGGUGGAUGUGAACUGAACUUCAUGGUCGCUGUUGAUUUCACGGCUUCAAAUGGAAAUCCUCGUCUUCCUGAUUCUUUGCAUUACAUUGACCCCUCUGGACGGCCAAACGCAUAUCAACGAGCGAUCUUAGAGGUUGGAGAGGUGUUGCAAUUUUACGAUUCUGACAAGCGCUUCCCUGCCUGGGGUUUUGGAGCAAGGCCAAUUGAUGGUCCAGUUUCUCAUUGUUUUAACUUGAACGGAAGUAGCAAUUACUGUGAGGUUGAAGGAAUCCAAGGAAUUUUGAUGGCAUAUGCAAGUGCACUCUUUAAUGUUUCUCUAGCAGGUCCAACCCUUUUUGGACCUGUGAUUACCAGUGCUGCACAAAUUGCUAGCCGGUUCCUUGCAAAUGGCGGGCAAAAAUACUUUGUUUUGUUAAUAAUCACGGAUGGAGUAAUAACAGAUCUUCAAGAAACAAAAGAUGCCAUUGUGAAGGCAUCAGAUCUGCCACUGUCAAUCCUCAUUGUUGGAGUUGGUGGUGCCGACUUCAAAGAAAUGGAGAUACUGGAUGCAGAUAAAGGAGAGAGACUUGAAAGUUCAGCAGGACGAGUAGCAUCACGUGAUAUAGUACAGUUUGUACCCCUUCGGGAUGUGCAGAGUGGAGAGAGAUCUGUUGUUCAGUCACUUUUAACAGAAUUACCUACCCAAUUUCUAACGUAUAUGCGGACAAGAGAUAUUCGCCCAAAUUCCUGAUCUAUUAAAAAAAGUUGUAUAUAUGAAAAUUAAUUUCCCUACCAUUAAUUUGUUCUGUGAGAAGAUAACUUCUCUCCAUUUUCAGCUCCAUGGAGCCAAUGCCUUCCAUGGUUUUUUCCAGGUUUUCAAUGAGGGCGUGAACUCAAUUCCCAAGGUGGAACCCAAUAUUCGGCCUAUAUGAUGCAAGUAUGAAAUUGAUCCAAGUAUGAAGCUGAACAUUUUAUGUCUUAAGAGUUAUGCACAAAAACUGAGUUUCUUUUUUGAGUGAAUGUGUAUUCUUAUUCGUUUUUUUUUCUAUAUGUUUAUUCAUUAUCAUAAAAAAAAAAAUUUAUUUGAGCAUCCAAA